rnacentral:lncRNA from 1 species
AAACUUUCUCCCGACUCCCGAGCCAUUUCGAAUCAGGCAUGGCUCCCGCUGCAACGACGUAUGUGGGGGCAACCAGUGAGAAGUAGUAGUCUAAGUCUCACGUCAACGAGUUGGGGGGAAAGAGAAAUAAAAGCUGAGGUCUGAAGAAGGAGAGUUAUGGAGCUUUAAAAUGGGAUUGUAAGCCUCUGUGACAAAGGGUACAGCCCCAUUAAAUCCCAUUGUCUUUUCAAGUCUUCUGUCUUCCGGCAGCAAGCAAGAAACCAGCAUGUACUCCCUCCUCACGGGCGUAAGUCCUUAGGAUAGCGCCCGCGACGUUGCUCCCCUUCAGAGCGUCGCCAUCACAGAAGCCCCCGCCGAGCU